rnacentral:rRNA from 1 species
CAAUAAGCGGAGGAAAAGAAACUAACAAGGAUUCCCCUAGUAACUGCGAGUGAAGCGGGAAAAGCUCAAAUUUGAAAUCUGGCAGUCUUUGGCUGUCCGAGUUGUAAUCUAGAGAAGUGCUACCCGCAUUGGACCAUGUAUAAGUCUCCUGGAAUGGAGUGUCAUAGAGGGUGAGAGUCCCGUCCUUGACAUGGACUCCCAAGGCUUUGUGGUGCACUCUCAAAGAGUCGAGUUGUUUGGGAAUGCAGCUCAAAAUGGGUGGUAAAUGCCAUCUAAAGCUAAAUACAGGCGAGAGACCGAUAGCGAACAAGUACCGUGAGGGAAAGAUGAAAAGAACUUUGGAAAGAGAGUUAAACAGUACGUGAAAUUGCUGAAAGGGAAACGCUUGAAGUCAGUCAUAUUGGCUAGAAAUCAGCCCUGCUUUUGUUGGGUGUACUUUCUGGUGAAUAGGUCAGCAUCAGUUUUGACCAGUGGAAAAAAGCAUGAGAAAUGUGGCUCCCUUGGGAGUGUUAUAGUCUUGUGUUGCAUGCAUUGGUUGGGACUGAGGUACUCAGCACGCUUUGUUGCAGGGGUUAUCACCCACUUCCGUGCUUAGGAUGCUGGCAAAAUGGCUUUAAGCGACCCGUCUUGAAACACGGACCAAGGAGUCUAACAUGCCUGCGAGUGUUUGGGUGAAAAACUCGAGCGCGCAAUGAAAGUGAAAGUUGAGAUCCCUGUUGUGGGGAGCAUCGACACCCAGACCAGACCUUCUGUGAUGGAUCUGCGGUUGAGCAUGUAUGUUGGGACCCGAAAGAUGGUGAACUAUGCCUGAAUAGGGUGAAGCCAGAGGAAACUCUGGUGGAGGCUCGUAGCGAUUCUGACGUGCAAAUCGAUCGUCAAAUUUGGGUAUAGGGGCGAAAGACUAAUCGAACCAUCUAGUAGCUGGUUCCUGCCGAAGUUUCCCUCAGGAUAGCAGAAACUCAUAUCAGAUUUAUGUGGUAAAGCGAAUGAUUAGAGGCCUUGGGGUUGAAACAACCUUAACCUAUUCUCAAACUUUAAAUAUGUAAGAUCGAGCUGUCUCUUGACUGGACUGCUCGGCGAUUGAGAGUUUCUAGUGGGCCAUUUUGGGUAAGCAGA